rnacentral:rRNA from 1 species
UACGUAGGGGGCGAGCGUUAUCCGGAAUUACUGGGCGUAAAGCGCACGCAGGCGGUUCGCCAAGUUUGGAGUGACAGUUGUCGGCUCAACCGACAAAGGACUUCAAAAACUGGUGAACUUGAGGACGAGAGAGGAACAUGGAACUCCAGGUGUAGUAGUGAAAUGCGUAGAUAUCGUGGAAGAACACCAAUGGCGAAGGCGGCGACCUGGACGGAACACUGGACGCUGAGACGCGAAAGCGUGGGGAGCAAACAGG